GGGGUAGGGGGAUCGAAGGAAAUUUGUUGGGAGGGGUCGUUCUUUUCAUUAUAUUUUUUUGUUUUUUUCAAUUUCAAUAAUAUAUAUACUUUUAAAAAUUUAUUUUUAUUAUAAUUUAAUUAAGGGUAGAGUAGUUUAUUUACAUAAAACUUGAUUAGAAUUAAUAUAAUUUUAUUUUCAUGGUUAAUAUUAUUUUUUAUUAAGAAAAGUGGUCAUUUAGAAGUAUUAACACAAAAAACAAAUUCAUGAUUAAUGCAAUUAUAAUUAAACGUCU
rnacentral:lncRNA from 1 species